AUGGGGUUGUAUAUUUUAUCCAAGGGAGUGCAUAGCUCGUUCGACAAGGACAUCUCACGUUUAUUCUGGCAAGCGAUGAAUGGUCGACAGAAAUAUCACAUGGUGAAGUGGGCCAACAUCUGCUUGCCAAAGGACCUAGGAGGGUUGGGAAUCCUUGCCUCCCGUCGUAUGAAUGUGUCUCACAUGCUUCUGUGGGUCUGGCAGAUCAUCAGAGGGGAGGGGGCCUUUGAUUGCAAAUUCUUCAGGCAAAGCACCUUCGGGGCUUGCCGCUUCUUGCGUGCGCAUGCUCAGAGGGUUCCAGUUUUGGAAGUCCAUCUAGAAGAUCAAACAUGA
rnacentral:rRNA from 1 species